ensembl:lncRNA
AAACAAGCCAAGAGAACUGUACAAGCGCUGUCGUGUCCUUCCUGUGCAUUGUGUCCUGAGGAACGUGGUGACGUUUGUCCCAUCACAGAAAAGCAGUAUCACUUUACAGACUCUCUCUGCCUUGCCAGCUUUGAUGAAGCAAUUGGCCAUGUUGGGGGUUCCAGGUGGUGAGGAACUGUGGGCCGCUUCCAGGACCUCCAGUACUCCAGCAAGAAGCCAUGGCCCUUGGUCAUACAGCUUCAAGGAAAUGAAAUCCACCAACAACUUGAGUGAGGAGUAGAUGGAUCCUUCCCCAGCUGAGCCACCAGAUGAGAGCCCCGCCCUGAUGGCGGCCUUGCAGAGAACCCAGCUAAGCUGUUCCUGGACUGCUGACCCACCAGGACUGUGAUAUAAUAGCUGCUAAUUAGUGGUAAUUUGUUAUGGAGCAAUAGGUAACAAAUACACGCUGCUCCUGGUUUAAAAGGCAGAAGAGCUAUAUAAUUUGGAUACAGAAAACUUUAGAAUCAGAGCCCUCCCAGAAAAGCCAGUUUUCCUAUGCCUUUUCUGCUGUUUGUAUCCUAGACAUCUGUCACUUUCCAUUUGACUCUCCAUGUCUACUCUCCACACUUCUGCACCCUGCCUUAUGACCAGAGGGCUGCCCCCCAGAGAUUGUCUUCUGCCUUCCAGUUCCAUUUACACAACGGAAACACCAGCAAAAGACCUAUUGGGUGGAAGGAGAGGGAACCAUUUAUUUCUCUGAUUCUCUCCCUGCCAGGUCUUAGCAGGUUAGUUGUGAACCUUGCUGAAGAUCACAGUCUCUCUCAGAUUGUGAAUUGGAAGAAGGAGCCUUAUAAGAGAAGGGCGAUGAGGGGAAAGCAUCAGAUUGUUAUUCAUCGUCUGACGGGCUUUAGAUCUAUGAAUAUGGCAUGACAAGGAAUAGACAGGAAAUUCAUUCCCAGGGACCCCAUUUUGUAGACUGCAGGCCAAGAGUGAAGAGUGUAACAGGCUUUGGUUGUCACUGAAGCCUGCAUAGACAGCACUCCAUUCUUUUAUAAAGGAUAACUUACAGAGUCGACUCCAACUAGCUGGAAUACUGCCUCCUGUGCUUCUGCAAAUCUGUAUGGGAAGAAAGGGGAGGAUUCUGAGCUCACGAAGAGAAUAAAAUGCCACAGUCGUCACCACCCUGGGCAGGGUGCAGCCUACUCCAAUAUCACAGAAAGUGUCCAAGCGAUUGUGGGCCCUGAGGGAACCCAGGCCUUUCAGUUUCAUCAAAGGGACAGCAACUGCCCAGGCUGGGCCAGGCUUAACACCAUAUUUUGUCCUUGGAGAGAAGGUGAUUGGGCUCUCUUUAUGGGUUUGUUUGAGAACCAUCUUGAGUCUUUCUGAACGUGGCCUGAUUCAUGGUCAGGCUUCCCUGGGCAAAUGAAUUAACCCACAAUUUCUAAAUACCCUGCUAAAUGCUUCUCAUAUUUUCAACCACUAUUUGUGUUUCAGUUCAAACUGCUGAAUUAUAAUAGUUGCUGGAGCAAGUUUUAUAUUUAAUACGAAUACUAAUACUCAAGUUUUGAGCACAAAGAAAAAAGAUUUGUCACAAAGUGGUAAUUUUUGGUAAGGCUUGGAACCUCCUCUGCCCCCUGAAUAAGUUGCCCCAAAAGCACAUGCUCCAAACAGCGCCCACAUACUCGCACUCACACACGCAGACAUGCACGCUCACACACACCCCUCACACACACACAGCCAAACUAAUCCACAUCCUUGGACUCACACUUUGGUGCUCCUUUCUCAAUGCGAUGCUCUUGCUCAUACAUGAGAAAAAUAUAAUGCAGCCAAAUACUUUCUUGGCCCAAACUAUAUUUUCAGAUAAGAUGAAUUGUUAGUUGCCUGUCUCUCUCUACAACCACAUCUAUGUAAGAAAUAGAGAUUUCUUGAUUUUUAAAAAUCAGUUAAAUUUUGUUCUGAUCUCCCCUGUCAGUGGAUGGUAGAACAUUAAUCAGUCAGUUCGGGGAAGACUUUCCCCUGGUGUCCUCUCAUUCCUGGGCAUUGUGAGGCGUCUGUUUCUCUAUCCUUAUCUAUCCAAGCAUCCUCUGAGACAUGCACCAUUCUUUCAGGUCCUCCAUCCUCCUGGGUCACAGCUGUGUCACCCACCAUUCCUGACCACAAGGCCUCUUCAGUCAGGACUCUCUUUGCUACUUCAGGGCACCUCUCAGGGCACGUGGCUGUCCUCAGGCUUCUUCCCUCCACCCUGGGCAUAGGAAAUUUGGUGUGACUGUCUUCAGACCAGAUGCCUAUAUUCUUCACAUUAUCAUUUCUCUUCUAGGGCAUUUCACUUGGGAAUAAGCUCAUAUUUUCCUUAAAACUUUCCGGGUUCCUAUCAGCCCUUACAUUCUGGAAGCAAGUGUCUGGCCCCUUCUCAAAGCCCAAAGUCUAAGCUCUCCUUACUUCCUCUCUACCCAUCUUCUCCCUUACUCUACCCCAACUUGUAGACUUUUUGUCUAGUUUUGGGACAUGCAAGCCUUGCCCUGACUCAUCAAAUAUUCUCUUAAAUUUACUUUUUAUGCCCUGAAUCCCUUACCAGAGUUUAGACUUUUGAAAAUUGAAUGGCUUCCUGUCUGUCUUGUCAUUCCUCCUCUGAGGUGGUGAACAUGCAUUGCUCUGACACAUUAGGAGAAAGCUGGGGUGAAAGGAAAUACCAAGAACAGACAUCUUUAAUAGUAUUUCCAAAAUGCUAUAUCACCACCGAGGUAUUAGCAAAGACAUUUUAUUGUGAUAAGUUCAGACUCUCAACUGAAAAAAUAGUCUACACUAAAAAUGAGGUUAUAGAACUUUUAGAUUUGGACAUUUCAGUAUUUUCAAAUUG